GUUUAUCGAAGCAGCCCAGCCCAUGGUAUUCUUACCCCAACAUCACAUCAUUAUAAAGCUUCUUCUCAACAUUCAAAUAGCUUUCAUUCCUAAGUUUCAUGGCAGUCUGCAAAAGCGAGGAUGUUUGCAGUUGAAGAAUACUUGUAGAUUGAAAUUUACUAGUAUUUCACCAAAAGAGACACGUGGAGAACAAUCCAUUCCUGUGUUGUGGAUGAGAAGAACAGUGGCGCCAAAGUGACAUGUUAGAUCGAAAGGUGUGUGAUCCUCGAGGAAAGCCUGCAGCUGCCAUAGUUGAAUGUGGUCCAUAUUAGCCUGGUGCAGCACAUUGCAGAUUCUAUACAUCAUUACCGAUGUGUGUAGAGAAGGCGUAAAACUUAUAUGCCCGUAUGAUGGAAGGGAGUGACCUUACGCUUUCCUCUUUCUGAGCUGUAGAAGGCUUUGCAGGGCAAAGUGCUAUAUCAAUUAAAUCAUACUUCCGUUCCAUUUCAUUUGUUUUCUUGCACAUCUGAUAGCUAUUGAAAUGUUGUUUACCACCGUGUCUUACUAAUCUAAUCUCAUUGCAUGCGAUCCAUUUCA